CUUUAGGCUGACACCCUGUUCAAGUAAUCCAGGAUAGGCUGUGUUACUCGUGGGCCUUUCCUCGGUUGCUUGAUCCGGGUGUAGUCUGCAA
ensembl:miRNA pma-mir-26a-2 pma-mir-26a-2